rnacentral:lncRNA from 1 species
UCACAAGGCCAUCCAUAUUUUUUUGCGAUCUCACGUUUUCUAGCGAUUGUGAUUUCCAACAUCGCAGGGUGAACAUUGUCGGUGCAAGGACUGGUUGGUCUGAUCAGUGCAGGAAAUGUCUGAGUUCUUGGUUAGGGGGCUUUGAGAGAGAUUUGAUGACUUCAUGCUUCCAAGUGGAUCGAGGAAAUCUAAUUGGUUCUCAUGGCUUGCCAUAGAAAAUAAAUAUUUGUAGAUGGAGGGCCCCGGAGAGUCUUAAAUCGUCUUCCAACACGGAUACAUCAGGUUGCUAAAGGUAUUAAUCUCCGUCUUUAAUUUGUGAAACUGUCAGUUCAGUUCAGAGAUUCCCAUCUGACCUAAUAGAUUGUCUUGAGAAUUUGUCCUUUAAUUGGCCAAGAAAGAGAUCUUAUGGGGGCAGUUUAUAUAUGUAGCAUAGUGGGCUUUUGGAAGCUUCGGAAUAAUGCAGUCUUCACGAAGAGUCGUCCAAAAAAUGUAACGCUUUUUGAUGUUAAUUAAUU